rnacentral:pre_miRNA from 1 species
AAAAUACUCCCUCUGUCCCAAAAUCCUUGUCUUAGAUUUGUCUAAAUACGGAUGUAUCAAGUCAUGUUUUAGUAUUAGAUACAUCCGUAUCUAGACAAAACUAAGACAAGAAUUUUGGGACGGAGGGAGUACAUA